rnacentral:lncRNA from 1 species
AAGGCUCUACAGAGGCCAGAAAUCAUGAAGCAGGACCCUGGAAGAGACUGGUCACUACUUGGAUGAUCAUGGUUGUCACAGAGACCCUGGCAUCGUGCCCAUGACUGUCACAGCUAGAAUGUCUGCUAUUAUUUGGGUGGAAAGUUUCAGGACACAAGUAGUCAUUGGAAAUGGAAAUGUUCUUGUUACCAGCAUUUGAAAAGUUGAGUUGCACCUUGUGAUGCUUCCAGAAGGCAUCUUUCCAAUUAUGUGGUAUGUCCAGUGUUCCAACACGAACCACAGAUUCCCCCAAGGUCACCUUCCUGCACUCUUCUGGAAUGUCCACAGGAAAGACCAUGAAGAGCCAAAGGGAGUGGAUGGAACCUUCUUGUACAAAAGGCCCUCUGCAUUCUCUGCCCAGCUAUGAGAGGACAGUCCUUCGCCAGACUCUGUUGUGAGCUGUCCACACCACUCAUAUUUGGCUCCAUCACCUCUCCCAUCCACUAAAUUCUUCAUGUUCCUUUCCAACCUCACCUUAAGUGUUUCAGCGCCAUAUCUUCCUCCUGAAUCAGAGUAAAGUAAGAAUAUGUUCAUGUUUUAUAAAUAUAUUAAACAACCU